UCAAAGAUUAAGCCAUGCAUGUCUUUGUACAAACUGAACCAAAGUGAAACCGCGAAUGGCUCAUUAAAUCAGCUAUGAUUCAUUGGAUCUUGACCACUGUAUUUACUUGGACAACUGUGGUAAUUCUAGAGCUAAUACAUGCACUUAAAGUCCUUGAACUUAUAUUACUAAGGGAAGGGACGCUUUUAUUAGUAUCAAAACCGGUGUUUCAGGCUUCGGUCUGUAAAAAAACACUUAUGAUGACUCUGGAUAAGUUUUAGCUGAGCGCAUGGUCUUAUGUACUAGCGCCGCUUCUUUCAAGUGUCUGCCUUAUCAGCUUUAUUGUAAGUUAUGUGCUUACAAUGGCUAUAACGGGUAACGGGGAAUCAGGGUUCGAUUCCGGAGAGGGAGCCUGAGAAACGGCUACCACAUCCAAGGAAGGCAGCAGGCACGCAAAUUACCCACUCCUAGUACUGGGAGGUAGUGACGAAAAAUAACGAUGCGAGACUCAUCCGAGGCCUCGCAAUCGGAAUGAGUACACUUUAAAUCCUUUAACGAGGAUCAAUUGGAGGGCAAGUCUGGUGCCAGCAGCCGCGGUAAUUCCAGCUCCAAUGGCGUAUAUUAAAGUUGUUGCGGUUAAAAAGCUCGUAGUUGGAUUUCAGUUGUGGACUGAUGGUUUUUACCUGAACAAGGUGCUUACUAUCACGCUCCGAAACCGCUAACAAAAAAAUUGAUUUUGUCGGCUCCACUAGCAACACACGGGAUGCUCUUAAUCGAGUGUCCUGAGUGGCUGGUAUGUUUACUUUGAAAAAAUUAGAGUGCUCAAAGCAGGCUCAUACUUUAAUGGCCUGAAUGUCUAUGCAUGGAAUAAUGUAAUAGGACCUCUGUUCUAUUUUACCGGUUUCCCUUUUGUGGAAUCAGAGGUAAUGAUUAAAAGUGACUGACGGGGGCAUUUGUACUGUGACGCGAGAGGUGAAAUUCUUGGACCGUCGCAUGACAAACAACAGCGAAAGCAUUUGCCAAGGAUGUUUUCAUUAAUCAAGAACGAAAGUUAGAGGUUCGAAGGCGAUCAGAUACCGCCCUAGUUCUAACCAUAAACGAUGCUAACCAGCAAUCCGCCUGGGUUAAUACCAUGACCUUGCGGGCAGCUUCCCGGGAAACCAAAGUCUUUGAGUUCCGGGGGAAGUAUGGUUGCAAAGCUGAAACUUAAAGGAAUUGACGGAAGGGCACCACCAGGAGUGGAGCCUGUGGCUUAAUUUGACUCAACACGGGAAACCUCACCAGGCCCAGACACUGGAAGGAUUGACAGAUUGAGAGCUCUUUCUCGAUUCAGUGGGUGGUGGUGCAUGGCCGUUCUUAGUUGGUGGAGUGAUUUGUCUGGUUAAUUCCGAUAACGAACGAGACUCUGGCCUACUAACUAGUCGACGGAUAAACCAUAAAUUGGUGUCCAGUUCGCAACUUCUUCUUAGAGGGAUAAGCGGUUUGCCUAGCCGCACGAGAUUGAGCAAUAACAGGUCUGUGAUGCCCUUAGAUGUUCUGGGCCGCACGCGCGCUACACUGAAAGGAUCAGAGUGUUUUCCCCCUCCGAGAGGAGUUUGGGGUAACCUUAUGAAACCCUUUCAUGAUAGGGAUUGGGGCUUGCAAUUGUUUCCCAUGAACGAGGAAUUCCUAGUAAGCGCAAGUCAUCAACUUGCGUUGAUUAAGUCCCUGCCCUUUGUACACACCGCCCGUCGCUACUACCGAUUGGAUGAUUUAGUGAGGCCUUCGGACUGUCGCUCUUGGAUGCCUAGCUAUGUUUAGCUUCAAGUGCCUUGAGCUGACGGAAAGAUGUCCAAACUUGAUCAUCUAGAGGAAGUAAAAGUCGUAACAAGGUUUCC
rnacentral:rRNA from 1 species